GUUCUGGGUACCGCUGGGGACAAUGCGGGCGCUAGAAGCGCAAAGAGGCGCUGGGCGCGUCCCACUCUCGGGGUGCUGGUUCGGCCAGACGAGCCUUUAGCCUCUCGUGGCCUCUGUGUGGCCUCCAUGUGGACUUCGAGUGCCCUUUUGUCCCCCUGGGCGCAGAGGUCUCAGAUUUUCCUACGGAUGCUGUGUUUGCCUUGGAGAUCCAGCCUCACAUGAAGCUACUCAUCAUCUGCUUAGUGUCCUCAGAGCUCCGGGAGUUGGCAAAGCUGAUGAAGGAGCAGUAGACAGCGACCCAAGCGCACCACUUCAGCUGGAAGAGAUCUGGUGGCAGCGACAGGAUCCAAACUAAACCUCUGACAGCAUUCGGGGACAACGAGAAACAGAAGCAUGGUACCCAUGAACCCCUUUUUGAGUCCACUGUCUUUCUCGCCGUUUCUGGGAGCCAUGGAAGUGCCUUUGAGGGACUUCCCUGGUGGCGCAAUGGUUAAGAAUCUGCCUGCCAAUGCAGGGGACACGGGUUCGAGCCCUGGUCCGGGAAGAUCCCACAUGCUGCAGAGCAACUAAGCCCGUGCACCACAACUAGUGAGCCUGCGCUCUAGAGCCCGCGAGCCACAACGACUGAGCCCACGCACUGCAACUACCAAAGCCCGGGGGCCUAGAGCCUGCGCUCCACGACAGGAGAAGCCACCGCAAUGAGAAGCCCACACACUGCAAUGAAGAGCAGCCCCCGCUGUCCACAAUUAGAGAAAGCCCGCACACAGCAACGAAGAUCCAAUGCAGCCAAAAAACAAAUAAAUAAAUUUAUUAAAAAAAAAAG